AGCGGCAGACGGCUGAGUAACGCGUGAGUAACUGCCCUCCGGUGGGGUAUAACCUCGGGAAACUGAGGAUAAUCCCGCAUACGACCGCAUCCCUUGGGUUGCAGAUGAAAGGCUUCGGCCGCCGGAGGAGGGGCUCGCGUCCUAUCAGGUUGUUGGUGGGGUAAUGGCCUACCAAGCCGAUGACGGGUAGCUGGUCUGAGAGGAUGACCUGCCAGAGGGGGACUGAGAACGGCCCCCACUCCUACGGGAGGCAGUAGCAGGGAAUCUUGGGCAAUGGGCGAAAGCCUGACCCAGCGACGUCGCGUGGGGGACGAAGGCCUUAGGGUUGUAAACCCCUUUUCCGAGGGAAGAGAAAGGACGGUACCUCGGGAAUAAGCCCCGGCUAACUACGUGCCAGCAGCCGCGGUAAUACGUAGGGGGCAAGCGUUACCCGGAAUCACUGGGCGUAAAGUGCGCGUAGGCGGUUGGAUAAGUCUCUUGUGAAAGCUCCCGGCUCAACUGGGAGAGGUCAAGGGAUACUAUUCGACUAGAGGACAGCAGAGGUAAGCAGAAUUCCCGGUGUAGCGGUGGAAUGCGUAGAUAUCGGGAGGAACACCAGUGGCGAAAGCGGCUUACUGGGCUGUAGCUGACGCUGAGGCGCGAGAGCGUGGGGAGCAAACUGGAUUAGAUACCCAGGUAGUCCACGCCCUAAACGAUGGAUACUAGGUAUGGGGGGUAUUGACCCCCUCCGUGCCGUAGCUAACGCGUUAAGUAUCCUGCCUGGGGACUACGGCCGCAAGGCUAAAACUCAAAGGAAUUGACGGGGGCCCGCACAAGCGGUGGAGCGUGUGGUUUAAUUCGAUGCUAAGCGAAGAACCUUACCUGGGCUCGACAUGUUGGUAGUAGAAACCCGAAAGGGUGACGACCCCGGGGUAACUCGGGGAGCCAUCACAGGUGCUGCA
rnacentral:rRNA from 1 species